rnacentral:piRNA from 1 species
UGUUGAUACGGUGCAGGCAGGAGACGGU